GGAGUGGACCAGGCGACCGCUCGUCGCGGUGACGUGACGGGAGGAAAGUCCGGGCUCCACAGGACGCAGUGGUGGGUAACGCCCACCAUCCGCAAGGAUCGGGACAGUGCCACAGAAAACAAACCGCCAGGCUGGUCGAGGCCGCGCAAGUGGAAUCGGCCAGCCGGGUAAGGGUGAAAAGGUGCGGUAAGAGCGCACCGCAGACCGGGUGACCGGUCUGGCACGGCAAACCCCACUGGGAGCAAGACCAAGCAGAAGGAAGCCGGCUCUUCGCAAGAAUCCGGCCCGGGUUUGUUCGACCCGGCACUACCUUCGGGUAGGUUGCUGGAGGCGGCGGGCAACCGUCGUCCUAGAGAAAUGGUCGCCCACGACAGAACCCGGCUUACCGGUCCGCUCCGAAU
rnacentral:RNase_P_RNA from 1 species